rnacentral:tRNA from 1 species
AGUUAAAAGUUAAAAGUGCAAAUUUUAUAUUUCCUUUAAAGAGGAGCUACAAUUUU